AGAGUUUGAUCCUGGCUCAGGAUGAACGCUAGCGGGAGGCCUAACACAUGCAAGCCGAGCGGUAUUUGUCUUUCGGGACAGAGAGAGCGGCGUACGGGUGCGGAACACGUGUGCAACCUGCCUUUAUCUGGGGGAUAGCCUUUCGAAAGGAAGAUUAAUACCCCAUAAUAUAUUGACUGGCAUCAGUUGAUAUUGAAAACUCCGGUGGAUAGAGAUGGGCACGCGCAAGAUUAGAUAGUUGGUGAGGUAACGGCUCACCAAGUCUACGAUCUUUAGGGGGCCUGAGAGGGUGAUCCCCCACACUGGUACUGAGACACGGACCAGACUCCUACGGGAGGCAGCAGUGAGGAAUAUUGGACAAUGGGUGCAAGCCUGAUCCAGCCAUCCCGCGUGAAGGAUGACGGCCCUAUGGGUUGUAAACUUCUUUUGUAUAGGGAUAAACCUAGAUACGUGUAUCUAGCUGAAGGUACUAUACGAAUAAGCACCGGCUAACUCCGUGCCAGCAGCCGCGGUAAU
rnacentral:rRNA from 1 species